rnacentral:rRNA from 1 species
GAAAGACAAUAAUUUUCAGUAACUCCUGCUCAAUGAAAUUUCAAUAGCCGCAGUUACCUGUGCUAAGGUAGCAUAAUCAUUUGCCUAAUAAUUGUAGGAUAGAAUGAAAGGAAGCACAUGUAAACUUCUUUAUUAAAAAAACAUUUUUAACUUUAUUUAUAAGUAAAAAAUUCUUAUUUUUUAUAGGAGGACGACAAGACCCUAUCAAACUUUACAUUUAUGUUUAGCUGGGGCGGCAAAAAAUCACACCUUUUCUUAAAAAUUUUUUAUAACGGCCUUAUUUUUGACUUAUUAAUGUUACUGUAGGGAUAACAGCAUUAUUUUUCCCCAAAGAUCUUAUAUAAGGAAAAGUUUUUGACCUCGAUGUUGAAUUAAUACCCUCCUGGGAGCAACCUCUUAAGAAGAAAGUCUGUUCGACUUUUAAAAUAUU